CGUGUAGGCGGUGCGGUAGGUUGGGCGUGAAAUCCCCGAGCUUAACUCGGGUGGGCCGUUCAAGACUGCCGUGCUAGGGUGCGGGAGAGGGAAGUGGAAUUUCCGGUGUAGCGGUGAAAUGCGUAGAUAUCGGGAGGAACACCUGCGGCGAAGGCGGCUUCCUGGACCGUAACCGACGCUGAGGCGCGAAAGCUAGGGGAGCAAACAGGAUUAGAUACCCUGGUAGUCCUAGCCCUAAACGAUGAGCACUGGGUGUGGCCCCUCACGAGGCCGUGCCGAAGCUAACGCAUUAAGUGCUCCGCCUGGGGAGUACGGUCGCAAGGCUGAA
rnacentral:rRNA from 1 species